CCUCGUAGCAAGGAGGGCAAUCUCUGUGUUUUACAGGGUUUUGAAGAAUUAUACCUAUGACAUGUGCUAUUCAAAAUAUAACUCUGAAAUUGUUCCUUCUGCCCUGUAAAAACAAGUCAUUACAAUCAAGCAGUGUUUGCCCUGUGAAUUUAUCAAGCCACAUGGACCUUAAUGACAGAUGACCUAAAGAGACUUGAAGGGAAUGGUGCAGUUGCCAGAUGGAAGGAUCCAUAUGCCUGAAUCUCAAGAUGAAGGAAAAUCCACCUAAUUGCCAACUAGGAGCACUGGAAUUGGCCUGCAAUACGGUGUGUGAUAUUGGGGAAUUCAUCUCAAGCCUUGGUUGCAAUACAAGCGGGAACCAAGAAAAGACACACCUUACUCAAGCAUGUCAUAAGGUUGGCAAAAUGGAGUACAAGAAAUUCCAAAUGUUGGGAAUGAUGUGGAGAAAUGGGAAGUUGCUGGAUCUCUAGUGAGACUAUACUUGGGUAUAUAUUUCAGGAUUAAUAACUUGGCAGCACUCAGAGAACUUAUGAUCCAACUAGCCCAUUCCUGCACUUAUGUCACAGAGAAAUUCCCUCACAUAUCCAUGAAGGUAGUGAGCAAGGAUAAUCAUCAAUCAUAGUUGAGAUUUGGAGGCAAUGGUCACACUCCCUUUUGUUACAGUUCCCCUUAGAACCCAACUGCCAUUUACUGAGAAGCCAAAACCACUUGGAGAGGCCAUAGGGAGACUUUCCAUUUCCUAGUGAACCCAGCCUUGGGCUCAUCCAGUCCCAUCACCGGAUGCGCACACGAAUAAGCCCUUGGACUGUCUAGCACUAGUAAGUGUGAGUGUAAGUGGCACUGGCCACUUACAGUAAAGUAACUUCCUGAAAUGAUACUAAAGUUGAUUAUUACUUCCAAAAAGGACUUUGAGGAAGCAAGUGUGGGACUUCCACUUUGUAGAGAUGAAGUGUACAUUUCCCCCCACUAAAAACAAUUAAAACUCCUGCUCAUUAGUUGUAAAACAAACGUAAGAAAACUCUGAAAGGUUGAGAGAAGGCAGACCAGAUAGGCACCUCAGGAUACAAAGAACAGUAUGAUGAUGAGUUCCCUGCGGUUUUCCUGUUUUCUGGGUGGUUUUUUGAGGGGAUAGGGGAGUGCCUCAUAUAUCCCUGGACUUACAGGUGAAGAAGCUAGUUACCUGAAAAUGCCAAUAGGUUCAGACGAAAUAAAUAGAUAAUAACUAGAAGCAUGUUCUUGUAGCCCAAAGACCAUGAAAGGAAUAUCCUAGAAAGACAAAAAAUUUUUAGACAAUAGCCACUUGACUUCAGUCAGACGCCAGAGAAAAAACUUUGACUCCAUCACCAGCCAUGCUGACAAAGGCCAAGAGGGGAGCCUAGACUUGCACUCUGAUCCCACAGUGAUGAAGUGCCUCCCUCUCCCCACUGGGCUAGGUCAGAGGAAUGGAAAGUCAGGACUUGCCGCCAUUACUCCCCUCUUCCUGGGCUAGUGGAGGCCACUUGUGGAACUUGUGGAACAGUAGGAAGGAUCUCUCCCAGCAGGCAAGAGAUCCGCAGAGGAUCUUGUAGUUCCAGAAGAUAUGAAAAUGUACAAAAACAAGAAGAAAAAAAACAUGAUGGAUGGAUGCAAAAGGAGUAAAGGAGCCAAAUGAAAGUGCUCCCAGUGAUCAAAACUGGAAAAAUUUGAGGAACAAAAUGGAUUAUUUUUAAACACAUUGUAUUGUAACCCAAAAUACAGGAUAAGUAUGAGUGAGUACAAACUGAUAGGCAUAAAUGAUUGAAUAAAUUAAUAGAUGGGGAUGAAGAGGCAAAUUUCCCAUACAGAAGAAUUCCAAAUAAUGUAUGUAGAUACCUGACCCUCAAGGAAGGGGCAUAACUCUUCACUCUUUACGUGUGGGCUGCACCUAGUGACUUGUUUCUAAAAAGUACAAUAUGAAAGUGGGGGGGAAACCACGAAACUUUACAGUGCAGGAAGCUCACAACACUAACUUGGCCAGGUGAUCAAGGUCAACAUGAUUGGAAAUAAAUUGUGUUGUACCCUUGACAUGUACUUUGCUAUGAGGUAGUGAAAAUGGCACUUGACCUCUGUGGUUUUCCUCCCCAAGACACAUAACCCCAGUCUAAUCAUGAGAAGAUCAUCAGGCAAGUUCCAUUAGAGACGUACCCUACAAAAAUACCUGGCCAGGACUUCUCAAGAACUGUCAAGGUCAUCAAAACAGGGGAAAUCUAAGCAACUGUUACAGCUAAGAGGAGCCCAAGGAGACAUGGUGCCUUAAUGUAAUAUGGUGUCCUCACUGGGAUCCUUGGAAAGAAAAAGGACAGUAGGUAAAAACUAAGGAAAUCUGAAUGAAGUAUGGACAUCAGGUAACUGGUUAAUUAAUUGUAACAAACAUACCAUAGUGAUGUAAAAUGCUAACAAUAGGGGAAACUGGGAGCACGGUAUAAGGUAGUUCUAUAUUAUCUUCUUAAAUAUAAAACAUUCUCUAAAAUAAAAACUAUUUUUUUAAAAGUGAGAAGAGAGUUGAUGUUACUAACUAGAACCUAGUUAAAAUUCAAAUCAAGUUCUUAAUGGUAACUUCUAGCAAAGCAUAUUUAAGGUCUAUAUGGUAAAUUACAUCCUAUUUUCCUAUGUGAAUAAAUGGCCAAAUAUAAUAAAGCUGAGAUCACUAUUA